rnacentral:rRNA from 1 species
CAGUAGCCGCGGGAAUACGAAGGGUGCAAGCGUUAAUCGGAAUUACUGGGCGUAAAGCGUGCGUAGGCGGUUUGUUAAGUCUGUUGUGGAAUCCCCGGGCUCAACCUGGGAAUGGCAAUGGAUACUGGCAAGCUAGAGUGUGUCAGAGGAUGGUGGAAUUCCCGGUGUAGCGGUGAAAUGCGUAGAGAUCGGGAGGAACAUCAGUGGCGAAGGCAGUCAUCUGGGACAACACUGACGCUGAGGCACGAAAGCGUGGGGAGCAAACAGGAUUAGAUACCCCAGUAGUCCCUGUCUCUUAUAC